rnacentral:rRNA from 1 species
AAAGGCGCGCGAUACAGGGUGACAGCCCCGUACACAAAAAUGCACAUGCUGUGAGCUCGAUGAGUAGGGCGGGACACGUGGUAUCCUGUCUGAAUAUGGGGGGACCAUCCUCCAAGGCUAAAUACUCCUGACUGACCGAUAGUGAACCAGUACCGUGAGGGAAAGGCGAAAAGAACCCCGGCGAGGGGAGUGAAAAAGAACCUGAAACCGUGUACGUACAAGCAGUGGGAGCACGCUUAGGCGUGUGACUGCGUACCUUUUGUAUAAUGGGUCAGCGACUUAUAUUCUGUAGCAAGGUUAACCGAAUAGGGGAGCCGAAGGGAAACCGAGUCUUAACUGGGCGUUAAGUUGCAGGGUAUAGACCCGAAACCCGGUGAUCUAGCCAUGGGCAGGUUGAAGGUUGGGUAACACUAACUGGAGGACCGAACCGACUAAUGUUGAAAAAUUAGCGGAUGACUUGUGGCUGGGGGUGAAAGGCCAAUCAAACCGGGAGAUAGCUGGUUCUCCCCGAAAGCUAUUUAGGUAGCGCCUCGUGAAUUCAUCUCCGGGGGUAGAGCACU